GGGUGAUUCCCCACGCUAUCCACCACUUCUCUCCAGCCCACAGCUAGUGAGCUGGUGGCUAAGGAGCAGGAACACACACGGAGGUCCUCUGUCUCUAAACCUAAUGAGCCUAGCCUCGUUUUUCCAGCUCCAUUAUGUACUCCCCUAUCUCAGGGUACACGAGCAAGAACACGGGCUCCAACUGGAGGUCAUUGAGUGGCAAGACCAGGACCAAUAACUCAGUCAAACUUGAUCAGUCAGGACAAGGAGGAGGUGUGGUUAUGAGGGAAUGCUACCUUCAUCCGAGAAGAGAGAAGAAAUUUCAUUUACUCAAAAAAAUCGAGUGCUUACUAUAUUCCAAGCCCUGCUCUAAGUGUGGGAGAAGUUGAAGAAAGUAAACAGAUCUCCUUCCCUUUAGAACUUCCUUUCUAUGGAGGAGGACAACGGGGAAGUGAGCCCUGGUCCUCCAGGGCUCCAGGUGGACUUGCUUACUUGCGAAGACGAGGAGUGAAACAGGUCUCGUCUUUUCAUAAGAUGUCUGCAGGAAAAUGACGCCCAGUCAGUUUCUCAUGUGAUUAUCUCCCAUAUAUAAGCGAGAAGAAGACUCUGGCUGAUAAACCAGGCCUGUCUCCAGACUCCUCGGGGUGAGGACCUCUUGGCUGGCACCCACCUUUGGCCAAAUUAUGAAGUGUUUUUAAUUACUUAAGAAAUACAUACACAUUGUAAAGGAUUCAAAAAAGAGAAGAGUAUGUGACACCAAGAAAAUGUCACUUGAUCACUCUCUGCUGCUAGAGUCACCGUUGGUACUUCGAAUCCACAUUGCAACUAAUCCUUGAGAAACCACCACUUGUGGAAAUUUGGUGAACUCGCCAAGAAGAAUAUCCAAAAUGAUCUAUGAAAAUUACUCUCCCUUUUCCAACUACAGCUGAGCAUGAGGUUGGAUUUUGCUUCCUGUACUUCAACCAAAACACCUACCACAACAGAUUGAUUGCAGAAGUAGCCGUGAGAAUCCAGCUGUCUUCUAUUAAGCCAGAUAUUAAAUACAUUUGCAGAAAUGUGAGACAUUGCCAGCCUUCUUACUAAAUUACGUCUUGCCAUAGUUCAUUCUGAUAAAAAGGAUGUGACUUACAUAAA